CGGUGGUUAUAGCAUCAGGGAAACGCCCGGUUACAUUCCGAACCCGGAAGCUAAGCCUGAUUGCGCCGAUGGUACUGCGAGGGGGACCUCGUGGGAGAGUAGGUCGCCGCC
rnacentral:rRNA from 1 species